GAGCAGCCUCCUCAGCUCCUGCUUAACCACUUCCCUCCAAACAGUGAGUGCUACAAUGUCAUCAGGUGCAGAGAAUGGACUAUACUGGUUUGAAGGUCCAUACAGCAACAAACAUACAAAUAUGCAGCAAAAGAAGCUAAGACAGGAUUGAGAACUGAAAUUGCAUCUGCUGGCACAGUGACAAUAAACCACCAGAACCAAAGAUGGAAGAAUCAGUCACCUUCUUCACCAUGGAAUUUAACAAAAUUCAUAAAAAGAUGAGAAAUCAACUGAAGGGUAAAGAACAGAAGAAAAAGAACAUUAAGGAAGUUAAACUUACUGGAGGUUUUCUGGUGCACAGUACUAAAGAAGUUGUAAAAUAAACUCCUCUUAUGAGCUCCACGUUCACAUACAUAAAUCAAGUGAGUGUUUGAAAAUCCCUCGAGUUAAGCCCUCAGAGAUAGAAUCUGUCUAAGGAAACAUUCCUGAGGCAACGUGACUGUGUUACGAAUUACAGAGGCUCCACAGGAGCAAGACACAAGAUUGAAGGGGCGCAGGGCUUGGGCCCCGUCCUGCCCACAGCCAGGGGAGCGGCAGCAUCUCUGCUCUGCACACACAGAUCCAGGGGAUCUGGGAGGCUCCAGGGCUCGCCAGGAUGGUGCUGCAGGUGCCAGGGAGGAAUUGGAGGCUGCUUUUCCCUCAAGGGAUCUUUGUGCUUUGUGAAGUGCACGGGCGAUGGGUGAGCACACUACAGCACCUCAGUGGCUCUGUUUGCUCCAAGGACAAACCACUCAAGGCCAGUUACGGAUGAACCCUGCUGCAAAGCACCAAAGUCCCUCUGUUUUGGAGACUUCCCCUCUUACUACAGAUACUCAUAAACCUGAAUUUUCACUUUCUCCGUAAUCCCCAUUGUUAAAAGAUGACACUAACUGUGGAGAAGUGUCCAUCAGGAAGUGGCAUGAGGUCAGGACAUCAGCAGAAGCCUCACAAUUUCUGCAGCACGUACUAAAAUUACAAGUUAAUUCAAAUUAAACCCUAAAACAAGCUUCAAGGAAGCACAAGCCAAGAGAACAUAGACCUUUGAAACAAUUCUCUGUAACAAGCCUUUAUAAAUUCAUAGGUUUGCAGGGAUAUCCAUGAGAGGAUUCAAGAGAGCUGG